UACGGAGGGGUUAGCGUUGUUCGGAAUUACUGGGCGUAAAGCGCACGUAGGCGGAUUGGAAAGUUGGGGGUGAAAUCCCAGGGCUCAACCCUGGAACUGCCUCCAAAACUCCCAGUCUGGAGUUCGAGAGAGGUGAGUGGAAUUCCGAGUGUAGAGGUGAAAUUCGUAGAUAUUCGGAGGAACACCAGUGGCGAAGGCGGCUCACUGGCUCGAUACUGACGCUGAGGUGCGAAAGUGUGGGGAGCAAACAGG
rnacentral:rRNA from 1 species